AGAGUUUGAUCAUGGCUCAGGACGAACGCUGGCGGCGUGCUUAACACAUGCAAGUCUAGGAGAAAGAGAAUCUUCGGAGUCUCGAGUAAACUGGCGUAAGGGUGAGUAACACGUAGAUAACCUGCCCUGGAGUGGGGGAUAACAUUGGGAAACCGGUGCUAAUACCGCAUGACAUCUUUCAAAUGCAUGUUUGAAAGAUUAAAGAUUUAUCGCUUCAGGAUGGAUCUGCGUUCUAUUAGUUAGUUGGCAGGGUAACGGCCUACCAAGACUACGAUGGAUAGCUGGUCUGAGAGGAUGAUCAGCCACACUGGCACUGAGACACGGGCCAGACUCCUACGGGAGGCAGCAGUGAGGAAUAUUGGGCAAUGGGCGCAAGCCUGACCCAGCAACGCCGCGUGAGUGAUGACGCAUUGAGGUGUGUAAAGCUCUGUUAGGAGGGAAGAAUUCCCAUUUUUUGGGGUUGACGGUACCUCCAAAGAAAGCUCCGGCUAACUCCGUGCCAGCAGCCGCGGUAACACGGGGGGAGCAAGCGUUGUCCGGAUUUACUGGGCGUAAAGAGCGUGUAGGCGGGAUAGUCAGUCAGGGGUGAAAUCUCUCGGCUUAACCGAGAACCUGCUCUUGAUACUGCUAUUCUUGAGUGCGGAAGAGGGAAGUGGAAUUCCUGGUGUAGCGGUGAAAUGCGUAGAUAUCAGGAAGAACACCAGUAGCGUAGGCGGCUUCCUGGUCCGUAACUGACGCUGAGACGCGAAAGCGUGGGUAGCAAACAGGAUUAGAUACCCUAGUAGUCC
rnacentral:rRNA from 1 species